CUGAAAGCAGAUGUUUAGAAAUGAAAGUAUAAACACAACCCCAGUUGAUUAAUAUGCUUAUUGUAUUUCCUUGUUGUGAGUCUAGCGAAUAUUUGAUUAUCUUUAAGUUGAUCCAUAGUAUAUUCAACAGUCUCAUGAGAACAUAAUUUUUGUUGAUGAUUUGUCCAAAGUUUCUAUUAAUCCAUCCUAGCAGCAGAGCCAAGUGUUAGAGUUAUUGCUGCCUGAGUUAUAACAGCUGCCCUGGGAAUCUUGUCUGAACAACAAGUUAACUGCUGUUCCCAGUUAUAUCUGGUCUUUCCCACCCCCAAACAUACACAAAAGAUUUUUGUCAUUCUUGGCACUGGACAACAGAAGUGAUAAGACAUGCCAGCAGAACUCUAAAGGCAGAAUGUCCUUCCACCUGUUUUAUGCUGUAAGACAAACUUCCAAGUGCGAGGCAGUGUGGAGGGCUGUUUCCUUGAAUGGCAGCUGAAUGCACCGGCGGGAUCCUUGGCAGCAAUGCCCAGGCACUGAAGCCGGGCAUUCAGGAGAGCUAAAUGGAGAAAAGAAACUUGAGCAAACUGCUUCCUGGAACACUGAGAACCUGAAUGGGAAAUUAAGAAGAACCAGAUUCUUUCUAUUCUUCCACCAGCCAAGCAGCAACUUCAGGAUGGGGGAAUCAAGCAAAACCAUGGUGAAGAGAUUCAUUUAAAGAGGACAAGUGAUUUAUUCUACAUCUCAGGAGACAGUUCCUUAAGGUGAUGAGCACAAAAGGAUCCAUCUUAUACAGUGCUUGCCAGCUUCCAUAAUACUACUCACCACGAUGUUGAAAUCACCUGUUCCAGAACCAGUCCUGUCCUUUGACAAGAAGGAUUUAAUUAUCAGUAGUGGUGGGGACUGGCUGGAGAGAGGAAAAACACUUCAAGGACUCUGCCACCUUUCGUAGAUGGAGAGUGCAAAGUUUGUACCAUGGAACUCCUUCUCUAACAGUUACUCUGUGGCAGUGCCUAUUUCAAACCUCCCUUAACUUCUGAUUGUAUAGAUGUUUGUUUCAUUUGUUCAUCUGUUUGUUCACUUAGUCAGAGAUGUUUUAAGCCUUAAGAGAAAUAGUGGACUAGAAAAUGCCUUGGAAAAGUACAAAGUUCAAUCCAAGUAAACUGUUUUUAAACUAGGAACUUAUGAAGCCUAAAAUAUAAAAUGUAUGUACAUGGAUAUGCUCUGAAGUGAGGUAGAGGGGUAGAAAUCAACAUUGUGAUAUUGUACUAUAGUUUUGCAAGAUGUUACCAUUGGGGGAAAAUGUUUGAAGGGUAUACAGGAUAUCUCUG
rnacentral:lncRNA from 1 species